rnacentral:precursor_RNA from 11 species
ACAGCGUGACAGUUCAUCAUGCUCUACAUCUACCCUGUAGAUCCGAAUUUGUAGUUGCAUCACAAGACAAAUUCGGUUCUAGAGAGGUUCGUGUGGGGCAUAAACAGCUACAUGCUAAAAC